AGAGUUUGAUCCUGGCUCAGGACGAACGCUGGCGGCGCGCCUAACACAUGCAAGUCGAACGAGAGAUGAGGAGCUUGCUCUUCAAAUCGAGUGGCAAACGGGUGAGUAACGCGUGAGGAACCUGCCUCAAAGAGGGGGACAACAGUUGGAAACGACUGCUAAUACCGCAUAAGCCCACAGCUCGGCAUCGAGCAGAGGGAAAAGGAGUGAUCCGCUUUGAGAUGGCCUCGCGUCCGAUUAGCUAGUUGGUGAGGUGACGGCCCACCAAGGCGACGAUCGGUAGCCGGACUGAGAGGUUGAACGGCCACAUUGGGACUGAGACACGGCCCAGACUCCUACGGGAAGCAGCAGUGGGGAAUAUUGCACAAUGGGGGAAACCCUGAUGCAGCGACGCCGCGUGGAGGAAGAAGGUCUUCGGAUUGUAAACUCCUGUUGUUGAGGAAGAUAAUGACGGUACUCAACAAGGAAGUGACGGCUAACUACGUGCCAGCAGCCGCGGUAAAACGUAGGUCACAAGCGUUGUCCGGAAUUACUGGGUGUAAAGGGAGCGCAGGCGGGAGAACAAGUUGGAAGUGAAAUCCAUGGGCUCAACCCAUGAACUGCUUUCAAAACUGUUUUUCUUGAGUAGUGCAGAGGUAGGCGGAAUUCCCGGUGUAGCGGUGGAAUGCGUAGAUAUCGGGAGGAACACCAGUGGCGAAGGCGGCCUACUGGGCACCAACUGACGCUGAGGCUCGAAAGUGUGGGUAGCAAACAGGAUUAGAUACCCUGGUAGUCCACACCGUAAACGAUGAUUACUAGGUGUUGGAGGAUUGACCCCUUCAGUGCCGCAGUUAACACAAUAAGUAAUCCACCUGGGGAGUACGACCGCAAGGUUGAAACUCAAAGGAAUUGACGGGGGCCCGCACAAGCAGUGGAGUAUGUGGUUUAAUUCGACGCAACGCGAAGAACCUUACCAAGUCUUGACAUCCCUUGACGAUACUGGAAACAGUAUUUCUCUUCGGAGCAAGGAGACAGGUGGUGCAUGGUUGUCGUCAGCUCGUGUCGUGAGAUGUUGGGUUAAGUCCCGCAACGAGCGCAACCCUUAUGGUCAGUUACUACGCAAGAGGACUCUGGCCAGACUGCCGUUGACAAAACGGAGGAAGGUGGGGAUGACGUCAAAUCAUCAUGCCCUUUAUGACUUGGGCUACACACGUACUACAAUGGCGUUAAACAAAGAGAAGCAAGACCGCGAGGU
rnacentral:rRNA from 1 species